rnacentral:misc_RNA from 1 species
AAGAGUUGUAAAACUCCCUAAACCACCUGUGAAUCUACCUGUUUCGUUGCCUCGGCAGGCGGCCCCAGGGCGGGGCCAUGGCCUGUAAAGGUGCCUGCCGGAGAGCACAAAAACUCGAUUAUUUUAGUGGCCGUCUGAGUUUAGAAAACAAGCAAGUCA